rnacentral:sRNA from 1 species
UAAAGAAGUAAGCGUUGUUUCUGAGUGUCGACAGUUGACGUUCGUCUUGUUGUUCCUUCCGAUAUGCUCAUAAGUUGGCGUACCUAAUUGGACAAAGUAUUCAGCGUAAUGUUGCAGAUUCCUUAUCGAUGAAACUGUUUUAUUUAUAAACGUUAAAAAAAAAAUUGUUUAAACUAUGUCAUGUGGCUGACAUUUCGUACAAUAAAUCAUAAAAUAUA